rnacentral:lncRNA from 1 species
AAAGAAAGAGAUGAUGAUUUAUAUCUGAUGCAGAUUUAUGCAAGUAUGGGGAAAUCUAAGUUGGGGGUGAACCACUUAUUUCAUCAUCCCAUCAAGCAGAAAGUAGAGAAGGGAAAUCUAAGGAAACAUGAGUAACUAAAACAUGCAAAUCUAACACCUUAAUCAUCGACAGCGGAGCCAAAAGAUUAAAGCAAGAUUCUCUUUUUUUUGUUCUUGAAAGCGCUAACGAUGAUCUAAUGUUCAGAAAGGGCAAAGAUCUAUUAAAGUUAACAAGAGAUCUAUCAUCAAAAUCACACCUUGGUGGAAUCGCCCCCGAUCUCUCCAAAACAAGACAUGGUAUGCGCAAGGUAGUAAAGAACCCUGGCGAAGGGGGUGAGAGAGAGAGAGAGAGAGGAAAAGGGGAGACCUUUCGGUAGGUGGUGCCGUCCUCCUCGACGAUCCACCCGGCCUCGUGGCAAAGGGCCUUGAGGACCUCAUUGUUGUCGCAGUGCUUCGGGAGCUUGUAGUUCCCCAUCGCCCGCAGCCCGGAGAAGAUCUGCGAGGCGAUCGCCCGCCGCCGCCGCUCCCUCCGCUUGUUGUUCUCCCUCUCCUUCCACGUCGGCUGCCGCCCUCCUCCCGCCGUCAUCCUUUCCGCCGAUCCCCCCCUCAAAACUCUAUCUUUUAUCCCUCAAGAUCCCUCCUUUUGCCUCACAGAACAAAGAGAUUGGGAUCGAUCGGACGAUCUCGCGGAACGAAGGGAGAAAAAGAGGCAAAUUUUGUUCUUCCUUCUCGAUUUUGUUCUCUCUCUCUCUCCCUCUCCUCCCACACCCCCUGUCCUUCUUGUUGGUUUUGGCCAGAGGAGUCUGAGAUUGCUCACGAGGAAGGUAGGGUUUUCUUAUUGUAUGUAGAUGGCUUAGAUUCCCGUUGUGCCAGAGAGCGCUCUCUCCCCGUGCUCGUCACCCAUCGCUCUUCUUUUGAGGUGAGGACCGGUGAGUAUGCAGUAGAACGAGCAGAA